UACGGAGGGUGCAAGCGUUAUCCGGAUUCACUGGGCGUAAAGGGCUCGUAGGUGGCCAACUAAGUCAGACGUGAAAUCCCUCGGCUUAACCGGGGAACUGCGUCUGAUACUGGAUGGCUUGAGUUCGGGAGAGGGAUGCGGAAUUCCAGGUGUAGCGGUGAAAUGCGUAGAUAUCUGGAGGAACACCGGUGGCGAAGGCGGCAUCCUGGACCGACACUGACACUGAGGAGCGAAAGCCAGGGGAGCAAACGGG
rnacentral:rRNA from 1 species